CUACGGGCCGCAGCAGUGGGGAAUAUUGGACAAUGGGGGAAACCCUGAUCCAGCAAUGCCGCGUGUGUGAAGAAGGCCUGCGGGUUGUAAAGCACUUUCGGUUGGGAGGACUGCUUCUAGCACUAAUAUUGUUGGAAGUUGACGUUACCUUCAGAAGAAGCACCGGCUAACUCCGUGCCAGCAGCCGCGGUAAUACGGAGGGUGCAAGCGUGAAUCGGAAUUACUGGGCGUAAAGCGCGCGUAGGCGGCUAGAUCAGUCGGGUGUGAAAGCCCCGGGCUUAACCUGGGAACUGCAUCCGAUACUGUAUAGCUUGAGUACAGGAGAGGAGAGUGGAAUUCCACAUGUAGCGGUGAAAUGCGUAGAUAUGUGGAGGAACACCAAUGGCGAAGGCAGCUCUCUGGCCUGAUACUGACGCUGAGGUGCGAAAGCGUGGGGAGCAAACAGGAUUAGAUACCCCCGUAGUC
rnacentral:rRNA from 1 species